rnacentral:rRNA from 1 species
GGUAGCACAGAGAGCUUGCUCUCGGGUGACGAGCGGCGGACGGGUGAGUAAUGUCUGGGAAACUGCCUGAUGGAGGGGGAUAACUACUGGAAACGGUAGCUAAUACCGCAUAACGUCGCAAGACCAAAGAGGGGGACCUUCGGGCCUCUUGCCAUCAGAUGUGCCCAGAUGGGAUUAGCUAGUAGGUGGGGUAACGGCUCACCUAGGCGACGAUCCCUAGCUGGUCUGAGAGGAUGACCAGCCACACUGGAACUGAGACACGGUCCAGACUCCUACGGGAGGCAGCAGUGGGGAAUAUUGCACAAUGGGCGCAAGCCUGAUGCAGCCAUGCCGCGUGUAUGAAGAAGGCCUUCGGGUUGUAAAGUACUUUCAGCGAGGAGGAAGGCAUUAUGGUUAAUAACCUUAGUGAUUGACGUUACUCGCAGAAGAAGCACCGGCUAACUCCGUGCCAGCAGCCGCGGUAAUACGGAGGGUGCAAGCGUUAAUCGGAAUUACUGGGCGUAAAGCGCACGCAGGCGGUCUGUCAAGUCGGAUGUGAAAUCCCCGGGCUCAACCUGGGAACUGCAUUCGAAACUGGCAGGCUAGAGUCUUGUAGAGGGGGGUAGAAUUCCAGGUGUAGCGGUGAAAUGCGUAGAGAUCUGGAGGAAUACCGGUGGCGAAGGCGGCCCCCU